rnacentral:rRNA from 1 species
CCUACGGGAGGCAGCAGUGAGGAAUAUUGCGCAAUGGGCGAAAGCCUGACGCAGCGACGCCGCGUGGAGGAUGAAGGUCUUCGGAUUGUAAACUCCUGUCAGAGGAGAAGAAAGUCCGAGCAAUCGGGUUUGACGGUAUCCUCAGAGGAAGCCCCGGCCAACUACGUGCCAGCAGCCGCGGUAAUACGUAGGGGGCAAACGUUGCUCGGAAUUAUUGGGCGUAAAGGGUGUGUAGGUGGCUGAGCAAGUCAAAGAUGAAAUACCGAGGCUCAACCUCGGAAUUGUUUUUGAAACUGCUCAGCUUGAGGAUAGUAGAGGAGAACGGAAUUCCCGGUGGAGCGGUGAAAUG